UACGGAGGGGACAAGCGUUAUUCGGAAUCACUGGGCGUAAAGGACGCGUAGGCGGGUUAUUAAGUCGGGUGUGAAAUCCAAUGGCUCAACCAUUGAACUGCAUUCGAAACUGAUAACCUAGAGUAUGGAAGGGGCAGGUGGAAUUAGUGGUGUAGGGGUAAAAUCCGUAGAUAUCACUAGGAAUACCGAAAGCGAAGGCGACCUGCUGGGACAUUACUGACGCUGAGGCGUGAAAGCGUGGGGAGCAAACAGG
rnacentral:rRNA from 1 species